rnacentral:misc_RNA from 1 species
UGCUACGUCACUGCACUUCCGGCUAUGGCGGCUUAUUUUUGUUCAGGAGACCAAAGUUCACGUAGGCAGCGAGAUGUACCUAUUCGCGCUUUCUGAUUCGCAUCACGGGAUUUGAAUAUUAAGAGGACAUACUUUCAAUUUUGUUCCAACUAUUGUCAUUGAAUUGUGUCUGAAAUGGCCUCAGAUGAUAAGAAUCGCUUCUCCUCUGGACAACAACAUUACCUGAGAACAACGCAGUUGGUGGCGAUGUUGGCACUGACGUUCCUAUUGUUCGCGACACAAACCGAAGCCAAGUUUUGUACCUCUCUCAAGAUAAUGAAGCCAGAUGUAAACCAGUAUGGCCAAAAACUAUGCACAGAGUCCUACCAGUCCAGAUGUGGCUGGUUUACAUUCAAGAUGUGCACAUAUUACGAGAAGAUCCCAUGCACAAAGGAGCGGAAUGACACAAAGGCCAAGUUCAAGAUUGUGACAGAGUGUUGUAAAGGCUACAUGUAUGAUGCAAACAACAUAACAUGCAUCCCUGAUGAGCUUACAACAAAAGCUGACGAAGUUACAACGAAAGGGGAUCCGGCAUCAGCAAAGAAUAUUCAAGACCCAGAUGAUGAUGACGGAAUUAACAUUUCCCAUGGUGCAUUUGCUGCCAUUGCCAGCGCAUGUCUGUUCAUCAUUUGUGUGACAGUUGUCAUUGUCAUCCAUGUCAGGAAGAAGCAACUGAAGGAAGAGAAGGCGAGGGAGGAGGCCAAGUCCCCCCUGGAGCUGGAGAAGAUGGUGCAGGCCUAACUUGAGAGGCAAGGAAGAGGUGAGGUCUGAAGCUGACGGAGGAAAUCGUGAAUGUCCUGAUGGUGGUGGCAGAGACUUGACAAGGAUGCUUGUAUAUUGGGCAAUGGAAUUUGGAAUUGGUAUUUUCAGUGUCUUGUGCUUGUGUGAUUCCAUGGAUCUAGUCGCCAGGAAAUCAUUCUUCAGGGAUUGUGGUUUAUUGUGGCCAUCUACAUGACAUCUACAGGAUGCCAGACAGGUGUGGAGUCACCACAACAGAUCAUACUGGAAAUUUCUUUUUACGAAAUUUCAAAUUGAUUAUUUGUCUGUUGGAAUAUAUUGUCCUUUUUGUGUCUAUAUGGGGAGGCUACAAAUAUUUUUGCUCAUGUGUAUUUCCAGUUUUCUUGAACAUGUUCAAUCUUCAGAUAUGAGAAUAGUCCUAAAAUUCAGGCUCUUAUAUUUGUAGUCUUGAAAUGGUUACAAAUUUUCAAGGUAAUUCCAUACACACUUGCAUGAGAGUGGAAACUUGUAUUGAACUGGAGAAUACUCAUGAACAGGUGCUUGUUGCAGCACCAUAGAUGCAGUGUCUCUGCACCCAGGUGCUUGUUGCAGCACUGUAGAUGCAGUGUCUCUGCACCCAGGUGCUUGUUGCAGCACUGUAGAUGCAGUGUCUCUGCACCCAGGUGCUUGUUGCAGCACUGUAGAUGCAGUGUCUCUGCACCCAGGUGCUUGUUGCAGCACUGUAGAUGCAGUGUCUCUGCACCCAGGUGCUUGUUGCAGCACUGUAGAUGCAGUGUCUCUGCACCCAGGUGCUUGUUGCAGCACUGUAGAUGCAGUGUCUGACUGCGCCCAGGUGCUUGUUGCAGCAGGUGUCUGUAGAUGCAGUGUCUCGGCGCCCAAUGUCUAUAGCUUGUCAUGUGUGUUAACUGUACAUAUUAUUUAUGAAGGAGCACAUUCCAUAGACACAGUGCAAUGUCCUUUUUUGUCAGGUAUCUUUUACCUGUUUUUUUUCAUCAGAUUUUUUUUCAGAUUUCUUUCUUUCC